AAACCAGCACCUCAAGUGGUCAGGAUGAUUAUUGGGCCUAAAGCAUCCGUAGCCUGAUCUGUAAGUUUUCGGUUAAAUCUGUACGCUCAACGUACAGGCUGCCGGGAAUACUGCAGAUCUAGGGAGUGGGAGAGGUAGACGGUACUCGGGAGGAAGUGGUAAAAUGCUUUGAUCUCUCGAUGACCACCUGUGGCGAAGGCGGUCUACCAGAACACGUCCGACGGUGAGGGAUGAAAGCUGGGGGAGCAAACCGGAUUAGAAACCCCGGUAGUCC
rnacentral:rRNA from 1 species